rnacentral:RNase_P_RNA from 1 species
CGAGCCGGCCGGGCGACCGCGUCGCACACUGCUCACGCGGUGCGCGCCGAGGAAAGUCCGGGCUCCACAGGGCAGGGUGGUUGUCAACGGCAACCCGGGGUGACCCGCGGGACAGUGCCACAGAAAACAGACCGCCACCGGCGCGUGCGUUCGAAGUCUGGACGGGCGCGCCCGGUGGUAAGGGUGAAACGGCGGUGUAAGAGACCACCAGCGUCGCGGGUGACCGCGGCGGCUAGGUAAACCCCACCCGGAGCAAGGUCAAGAGCACGGGCCACGGCUCGUGUGCGCAGGCGUUCGAGGGCGGCCCGCCCGAGCCUGCGGGUAGACCGCUGGAGCCUGCCGGCGACGGUAGGCCGAGAUGGAUGGUCGCCACCGGACGGCGUCAGCCGCCCGGAACAGGACCCGGCUUACAGGCCGACUCGUCCG